rnacentral:rRNA from 1 species
GACAGAGGAUGCAAGCGUUAUCCGGAAUGAUUGGGCGUAAAGCGUCUGUAGGUGGCUUUUUAAGUCCGCCGUCAAAUCCCAGGGCUCAACCCUGGACAGGCGGUGGAAACUACCAAGCUGGAGUACGGUAGGGCAGAGGGAAUUUCCGGUGGAGCGGUGAAAUGCGUAGAGAUCGGAAAGAACACCAACGGCGAAAGCACUCUACUGGGCCAUUACUGACACUGAGAGACGAAAGCUAGGGGAGCAAAUGGG